rnacentral:misc_RNA from 1 species
AACGUGUCGCUGCGUGUGCGGUAUUCGUUCUAGUGGCUGCGGACAGCGUAAACUGAAGACAGAGGAUGUAUGUCUACGGUGCCGAGGCCGUUUCUCACCCCUGAGGAGUACCUGGAGAUCGAGCGGGCCGCCGAACUCAAGAGCGAGUACUUCGAGGGCCAGAUGUUUGCGAUGUCCGGUGGCUCAUUGACGCACAGCGCACUUCAAAUCGCACUUGCGCUGGUAGUUGGUGGCCGACUGAAUCGCAGGAAGUGUUUAAUGCUGAGCAGCGACAUGCGCAUUCAGGUGAGCGCUACCGGGCUGUACACCUACCCCGAUUUCGCGGUCGUCUGCGGCGAAGCGCGCAUGGCCGAUUCGCAAGGCGAGACGUUGGUCAACCC